UACGGAGGGUGCAAGCGUUAUCCGGAAUCAUUGGGUUUAAAGGGUCCGCAGGCGGGAAGAUAAGUCAGUGGUGAAAUCUCACAGCUCAACUGUGAAACUGCCAUUGAUACUGUCUUUCUUGAAUUCGAUCGAAGUGGGCGGAAUGUGACAUGUAGCGGUGAAAUGCUUAGAUAUGUCACAGAACACCGAUAGCGAAGGCAGCUCACUAGGUCUUGAUUGACGCUCAGGGACGAAAGCGUGGGGAGCAAACAGG
rnacentral:rRNA from 1 species